rnacentral:rRNA from 1 species
GAUGAACGCUAGCGACAGGCUUAACACAUGCAAGUCGAGGGGCAGCACAGGGUAGCAAUACUUGGGUGGCGACCGGCGCACGGGUGAGUAACGCGUAUGCAACCUGCCGUCUACUCUUGGACAGCCUUCUGAAAGGAAGAUUAAUACAAGAUGGCAUCAUGAGUCCGCAUGUUCACAUGAUUAAAGGUAUUCCGGUAGACGAUGGGGAUGCGUUCCAUUAGAUAGUAGGCGGGGUAACGGCCCACCUAGUCUUCGAUGGAUAGGGGUUCUGAGAGGAAGGUCCCCCACAUUGGAACUGAGACACGGUCCAAACUCCUACGGGAGGCAGCAGUGAGGAAUAUGGUCAAUGGGCGAGAGCCUGAACCAGCCAAGUAGCGUGAAGGAUG